CUUUUUAGCAGGGGCCUUACGGGUGCAUGCUUCGGUCCUGGAGGACUUAGGCUAGCCUCCUCUCCAUCAGCGCCACCCGUCUGGGGCCCGAAAGGAGGGAGCUUUCCCUCUGUCCCCCAGCCUUUGGACUGUCACCAAACAAGCCAUUCGUUCACCAAAUACUUUUUAAGCGCCUACCAUGUGCCUGACAAGGGAUAUGUAACGGUGAGAAAAACUAGGUGUGGUCCAGGCCCUUCAGGGACUCAGGGGCUCGUGGAAGAAGUGGAUAUUGAAGUACUUAUCACACAAAGGAGGAUAAAAGUACGAUAGCGAUAUCUACCACGAAGUCCCUGUAUCCUGAGAUGGAGUCACCUGAGAAUCCACAGCAAGUCCUAACCAGGGAUGGGUCUGGGUGAUUAAGGAAGAUUGGCUUCAGAACUGGGCCAGGGGCACUGCUUUGCUUUUGCUGUUUUGAUCAGCUCUCUGCCUGCAGGAGACGAGGAAAACCAAUGGGAACAGAUAGGGUCUCUCUCUCUGCCACUCAGGCCAGAGUGCAGUUGACGCAGAGCAGGGGAGCCCUGAAAUGGAGCAUAGUGUGUCCGGAACUGGUGGGUUCUUGGUCUCACUGACUUCAAGAAU
rnacentral:lncRNA from 1 species